rnacentral:lncRNA from 1 species
GGCACAUUGUGCCAAUGUGUCUUUGUGAAAUGUUCAGACUCUUUGUGUCCCUUCUCUUCAAUCCUUUAAAGUGUAUGAGCAUUCUAUUUUUAGGGCCAUUAAGUCAUGCCAUUUCAUAUGAUUAUGCCUGUGAUUACAGUCAAGUUUGAUCCUCCAAACGAAGAGAUGACAGUCUCCAAGAUCCAUGACCAAUUCAUGAUCAAAUGGAAGAUCCCUGAAAAGCAAGAGGAUGCAAUAGCAGAAUAUCGUUACAGGACGUGGAAUGGAACGUGGGAACAGGGGGACUGUGGAGCCCAGACGAACUCUGACUUUGAGACCUGCAGCCUCCAGCUCGAGGCACCUGUUGCCUAUGAAAUCCAGCUCCGUCGCCACAAAAAAGCCUCCCCGACUGGUCAGUGGAGUGAAUGGAGC